rnacentral:rRNA from 1 species
CAGCCGUAAACUAUGCUCGCUAGGUGUCAGGCAUGGCGCGACCGUGUCUGGUGCCGCAGGGAAGCCGUGAAGCGAGCCACCUGGGAAGUACGGCCGCAAGGCUGAACUUAAGGAUUGGCGGGGAGCACAACAACGGGUGGAGCCUGCGGUUUAAUUGGACUCAACGCCGGACAACUCACCGGGAACGACAGCAAUAUGUAGGCCAGGCUGAGACCUUGCCUGAAUCGCUGAGAGGGGGUGCAUGGCGUAGACGUCU